rnacentral:rRNA from 1 species
GAUGAACGCUGGCGGCGUGCCUAAUACAUGCAAGUCGAGCGAACAGACGAGGAGCUUGCUCCUCUGACGUUAGCGGCGGACGGAUGAGUAACACGUGGAUAACCUACCUAUAAGACUGGGAUAACUUCGGGAAACCGGAGCUAAUACCGGAUAAUAUAUUGAACCGCAUGGUUCAAUAGUGAAAGACGGUUUUGCUGUCACUUAUAGAUGGAUCCGCGCCGCAUUAGCUAGUUGGUAAGGUAACGGCUUACCAAGGCAACGAUGCGUAGCCGACCUGAGAGGGUGAUCGGCCACACUGGAACUGAGACACGGUCCAGACUCCUACGGGAGGCAGCAGUAGGGAAUCUUCCGCAAUGGGCGAAAGCCUGACGGAGCAACGCCGCGUGAGUGAUGAAGGUCUUCGGAUCGUAAAACUCUGUUAUUGGGGAAGAACAAAUGUGUAAGUAACUAUGCACGUCUUGACGGUACCUAAUCAGAAAGCCACGGCUAACUACGUG